rnacentral:rRNA from 1 species
UACGUAGGUGGCAAGCGUUAUCCGGAUUUACUGGGUGUAAAGGGCGUGUAGGCGGGACUGCAAGUCAGAUGUGAAAACCACGGGCUCAACCUGUGGCCUGCAUUUGAAACUGUAGUUCUUGAGUACUGGAGAGGCAGACGGAAUUCCUAGUGUAGCGGUGAAAUGCGUAGAUAUCAGGAGGAACACCGGUGGCGAAGGCGGCCUGCUGGACUGCAACUGACGUUGAGGCCCGAAAGCGUGGGGAGCAAACAGG